AUGCAAUCCCUUGUAUUUUUCUUCCCAAUCCAUUCCUUCAAACAAAUAAAAAUGGAGUAUCAUAGCAACAACCGAAGGUGCUACACUGAACGAAUAGCAUAAAUACAUAAUGGCAAAUUUAAUAAGCGUCUCUCAGAUUUCUCAACAAAAGCAAUGCUAUAGCUAGUUCUGAACACAUUAGAAGUCCGAACUCACCAAAUUCACAAAUGAUGAGCAAACAUGAAAAAUUACACAUGCAAUGACUAGAGCAAACAAGAGCUCAAAUGCUCAAAGUCUAUUCGUAGACCCAGGGGUGAAGGCUGCUUGCCCAGCUAACAGGGCCUUCAGGGAA
rnacentral:misc_RNA from 1 species